rnacentral:rRNA from 1 species
CCUACGGGAGGCAGCAGUGGGGAAUAUUGGACAAUGGGCGCAAGCCUGAUCCAGCCAUGCCGCGUGUGUGAAGAAGGUCUUCGGAUUGUAAAGCACUUUAAGUUGGGAGGAAGGGCAGUAAGCGAAUACCUUGCUGUUUUGACGUUACCGACAGAAUAAGCACCGGCUAACUCUGUGCCAGCAGCCGCGGUAAU